AGUGACUGAGGAGGUUGUAGGUGGCAGGCAGACAGUGAUGGAGGGAAAGCUGAUGAUGAAUUGAAUGAGAAUUGGGAUUGCUUUGGCAGAAAAGAAUGAAAUUGGACUGAAAGGGGCUGACUUUGCGAUGGUGCUCUGCCAGUGCCGUUUUCUUGACUGAACUCUAAUCCUCCAAGAGCAGUUCGGUGCCAGUUGAUUCGUGUCAGAGAUCUCUGCACACAAACCAGUACAGAAGUCACAAAGCGAGACAGAGCUGGAGCAGAAACUUAAUAGUCCCCAACACAGUGGUUGUAGUUGUGACUGAGCUGUCACAAACGAGAUGGCCAGUCGUGGUGGCAUCACGGGAUUCAGAAACACACGCACAGCAUUGGGAGAGGAGCCCAGAGUUUCAACAGCAGAUUUCUCAUUCUCCACACCCUGUGCCAAAGCAGAUGGGCAGAGGAAGCUUGGCGAGUAAACUGCAUGCUUGACAUUACGGAGCAAGGCUGCAGCAGAACAAUUUCUGGAUGCCAACCCAGGGCCCCAGUCCUGAAACCAGCCCUUUCCUUCUGGACACCUAUCACAUAGCAAGAAGCUUCAUCCACAACGUGGGAAUCCCAGGCAUAAUUUCCUCUUCUAAGAGUAGGAAUGUGUGCGUCCUAGAUACACGCUGUAACUACCAAAUAACAGGUUCUAUCCUGGGGAGGUGCUUCACGCCCAAAAUAAAACAGGGACACUUGGCAAGAGACAAGAUUUGGUGAGGGAAUCAGAAGCUGUC